rnacentral:rRNA from 1 species
UACGUAGGUGGCAAGCGUUGUCCGGAGUUAUUGGGCGUAAAGCGCGCGCAGGCGGUCUUCCAAGUCAGUGGUGAAAGCCUGGAGCUCAACUCCAGAACUGCCAUUGAAACUGUUAGACUUGAGUACGAGAGAGGUGAGCGGAAUUCCCAGUGUAGAGGUGAAAUUCGUAGAUAUUGGGAAGAACACCGGUGGCGAAGGCGGCUCACUGGCUCGUAACUGACGCUCAGGCGCGACAGCGUGGGGAUCAAACAGG